GGGCUUAAUUGUUGUCAUAAGUCAAGGACUACUCGUUAAGGGGAUAGGAAGUAGAUAUUUUCCUCCAAAUUGGCACAUCCAAUGGAUUCCUCCCUCUCUCUCUCUCUGCUUCCUCUGAAUACUUGCUGGAAAGGUGAGGGAAGCCUACUUCAUAUGAAGUCAUUUCCACAGAUUAAAGUUUUACCUGAAACUCAACCUUUUCAGCUUUAAUCCAAGAUAUAGUGGAGCCAGAUGAAGAAAUAUAAGACUUACUUGUUCUUUUUUUUUUUUACAAAAGGUGAAUCCAAUUCUCCAAACGAUGUUACAUGACCCAUUGGCAAUCUUUGUUGGUCUGGCCUCCUCUUUGAAAUGCAAGGAAACCUGGAUUCCUGCCGCAGGAAAAGCCUAACCCCCGUACCAGUAACUUCCCAGGCUCCUCUUUUCAGAAUCUCCAGCCAGGGUGGCUGUCAGAAGAGGACCUGGCUGGAGAAAACAGAUCUUAAUCACCCCAGUCUAGAGAUGCUUUCUCGGAAAGCAGCAGUUGUUGACUUGCGGUUCAUGCCGCAGAGGUGAAAAAAAAAGCGUUCCACACAUUUCCAGACAAUCCUCCGUUUUUACUUUGGCAAAAA